ACGCCGUUAUGGAUACGACACCGACACGUGCUCACGCCAUGUAUACAUUUGAAUUGCAUCAAUUCUUUAGGCACUGACAGCCGGAUAACGGGUGGCGUUUUUCACUGAAAUCGUUUUCGUUUUGACGGCAGCUGUUGACUAAUAAUAAUGUAAAGAUUUCUGGUGGAGUGAUAAGAAGCUGACAGAGUAUUAGAGCUGCUGCAGACGAGCGUUUGAUUAGAACUAUUACGAAAACGCGAACAUAAACACACGCGGUACGAUCCAUUCG